rnacentral:rRNA from 1 species
UGCAAGUCGAACGGUAGCACAGAGAGCUUGCUCUCGGGUGACGAGUGGCGGACGGGUGAGUAAUGUCUGGGAAACUGCCUGAUGGAGGGGGAUAACUACUGGAAACGGUAGCUAAUACCGCAUAACGUCGCAAGACCAAAGAGGGGGACCUUCGGGCCUCUUGCCAUCAGAUGUGCCCAGAUGGGAUUAGCUAGUAGGUGGGGUAACGGCUCACCUAGGCGACGAUCCCUAGCUGGUCUGAGAGGAUGACCAGCCACACUGGAACUGAGACACGGUCCAGACUCCUACGGGAGGCAGCAGUGGGGAAUAUUGCACAAUGGGCGCAAGCCUGAUGCAGCCAUGCCGCGUGUAUGAAGAAGGCCUUCGGGUUGUAAAGUACUUUCAGCGGGGAGGAAGGUGUUGUGGUUAAUAACCGCAGCAAUUGACGUUACCCGCAGAAGAAGCACCGGCUAACUCCGUGCCAGCAGCCGCGGUAAUACGGAGGGUGCAAGCGUUAAUCGGAAUUACUGGGCGUAAAGCGCACGCAGGCGGUCUGUCAAGUCGGAUGUGAAAUCCCCGGGCUCAACCUGGGAACUGCAUUCGAAACUGGCAGGCUAGAGUCUUGUAGAGGGGGGUAGAAUU